rnacentral:rRNA from 1 species
UACAGAGGUCCCGAGCGUUGUUCGGAUUCACUGGGCGUAAAGGGUGCGUAGGUGGUGAGGUAAGUCGGAUGUGAAAUCUCCGGGCUCAACCCGGAAAUGGCAUUGGAAACUACCUUGCUAGAGGAUUUGGGGGGGGGAUUGGAAUACUUGGUGUAGCAGUGAAAUGCGUAGAUAUCAAGUGGAACACCAGUGGCGAAGGCGAAUCCCUGGAAAAUACCUGACACUGAGGCACGAAAGCUAGGGGAGCAAACAGG